rnacentral:rRNA from 1 species
UACAGAGGUCCCAAGCGUUGUUCGGAUUCACUGGGCGUAAAGGGUGCGUAGGCGGUUUGACAAGUCUGAUGUGAAAUCCCGCAGCUUAACUGCGGAACUGCAUUGGAAACUGUUUGACUAGAGGAAUGGAGGGGAGACUGGAAUACUUGGUGUAGCAGUGAAAUGCGUAGAUAUCAAGUGGAACACCAGUGGCGAAGGCGAGUCUCUGGACAUUUCCUGACGCUGAGGCACGAAAGCCAGGGAGCAAACGGG